rnacentral:rRNA from 1 species
CCUACGGGGUGCAGCAGUGGGGGAUAUUGCACAAUGGGGGAAACCCUGAUGCAGCGACGCCGCGUGGGUGAAGAAGCGCCUCGGCGCGUAAAGCCCUGUCAGCAGGGAAGAAAAUGACGGUACCUGAAGAAGAAGCCCCGGCUAACUACGUGCCAGCAGCCGCGGUAAUACGUGGGGGGCAAGCGGUUCCGGGUUUACUGGGUGUAAAGGGGGCGCAGAAGGGGAUGGAAGGCAGGUGUGAAAGCCCGGGGCCCAACCCCGGGGCUGCUCUUGGAACUGGGUGGCUAGAGUGCAGGAGGGGCAUGCGGAAUUCCUGGUGUAGCGGUGAAAUGCGUAGAUAUCAGGAGGAACACCGGUGGCGAAGGCGGCCUGCUGGACUGCAACUGACGUUGAGGCCCGAAAGCGUGGGGAGCAAACAGGAUUAGAUACCCUAGUAGUC